CUCCAGUGUAGGUGCACAGUGAAAAUUAUUUGUAAUUUCUGUCUUCCUACAGCGACAUCUUAGGUACAAGUACCUAGGUCGGCUCUUGGAUACAGCAGAGGAAUGGAAGUAGUUGCUUAAUUACAGUGUUGAAAGCCUCAUUAAUUAAUGUUGCAGAGAAUCCUCAAUCAAGUUCUGAUGAAGCUGCAUGAGGAACAUUGGGCUGGUUUUGAUACUCUAUGGUGAUGUAUCCUCUACCACUAACCACAGGAUACAUUCAAGACAAAGCAAUGACAAAGGAGGAUUGGCGUCAGCAAGCUACCCCAAAUCAGUCUUACCCAGUACCACAAACUGGUUGAGGAUGCAAAUACUACACAGGACCACGAGUGGUCAUCCGGGAGAGUGCAGUACUACAAGUAUUGGAUGGCUGGAUUGCAGCAAAAGAUACUGCCAGACCUGUUGACUCUCUCCAGCAAUUGCUGUUUCUGUUCCAAAAUGAGCCUCCUGCCUCAUAUAUUCAACAAUUCGUAUCCUUUUACUUCACAGAAUAAAACAGCAAUAUAACCAGGUUUCAAAUAUGUCUUUAUUUAUGCAAUAAAUUUAAUACUGUUCUGGCAAAAAGAAAACAUAGUGUUGUGAAGCCACAAGAAUGGCAUUGAAGAAUUUUCCUGACUCAAUCGGCCCCUUUAUAAUUCAUGUAUAAAUCAUUUUUAAAUAUAGGCUUUCAUUGUGACUACCCUGAAUAAUUAUAUAAAUAUUUCUGGGAAACUAUUAUUAAGAUUAUUUCAUUAAACAUAAUUCCACAAA